rnacentral:rRNA from 1 species
GAUGAACGCUAGCUACAGGCUUAACACAUGCAAGUCGAGGGGCAGCGCAGUGUAGCAAUACAUGGGCGGCGACCGGCGCACGGGUGCGUAACGCGUAUCCAACCUUCCCGUUACUCAGGGAUAGCCUUCCGAAAGGGAGAUUAAUACCUGAUGGUGUUCAAAUUCCGCAUGUUAUUUGAACUAAAGAUUCAUCGGUAACGGAUGGGGAUGCGUGACAUUAGAUAGUAGGCGGGGUAACGGCCCACCUAGUCUACGAUGUCUAGGGGUUCUGAGAGGAAGGUCCCCCACACUGGAACUGAGACACGGUCCAGACUCCUACGGGAGGCAGCAGUGAGGAAUAUUGGUCAAAUGGUCGAAGGACUGAACCAGCCAUGCCGCGUGAAGGUGACGGCCCUAUGGGUCUUAAACUUCUUUUGCAAGGGAGCUAAAUAAGGUCUACGUGUAGACCGAUGAGAGUACCUUGCGAAUAAGCAUCGGCUAAC